rnacentral:rRNA from 1 species
GAUGAACGCUAGCUACAGGCUUAACACAUGCAAGUCGAGGGGAAACGACAUCGAAAGCUUGCUUUUGAUGGGUGUCGACCGGCGCACGGGUGAGUAACGCGUAUCCAACCUGCCCACCACUUGGGGAUAACCUUGCGAAAGUAAGACUAAUACCCAAUGAUAUCCCACGAAGGCAUCCGAAUGGGAUUAAAGAUUUAUCGGUGAUGGAUGGGGAUGCGUCUGAUUAGCUUGUUGGCGGGGUAACGGCCCACCAAGGCUACGAUCAGUAGGGGUUCUGAGAGGAAGGUCCCCCACAUUGGAACUGAGACACGGUCCAAACUCCUACGGGAGGCAGCAGUGAGGAAUAUUGGUCAAUGGGCGAGAGCUUGAACCAGCCAAGUAGCGUGCAGGACGACGGCCCUAUGGGUUGUAAACUGCUUUUAUAAGGGAAUAAAGUGAGUCUCGUGAGACUUUUUGCAUGUACCUUAUGAAUAAGGACCGGCUAAUUCCGUG